GAGGGUGUAGCUCAGUGGUAGAGCGUGUGCUUAGCAUGCACGUGGUCCUGGGUUCGAUCUUCAGUACCUCCA
rnacentral:tRNA from 1 species